rnacentral:rRNA from 1 species
GAACGCUGGCGGCGUGCUUAACACAUGCAAGUCGAACGCGAACNNUUUCUUCGNAAACUUAGUAGAGUGGCGCACGGGUGAGUANCGNGUAAGUUAUCUANCCUNCCAUCUGGAAUAACUCACCGAAANGUGUGNUAAUACCNGAUNCGUUGAUUUNUCAAGAAAGGUGGCCUCUAUUUAUAAGCUACCGUGGGGGGAUGAGCNUGCGUACCAUUAGCUAGUUGGUAGGGUAAUGGCCUACCAAGGCNACGAUGGUUAGCGGGUCUGAGAGGAUGAUCCGCCACACUGGAACUGGAACACGGUCCAGACUCCUACGGGAGGCAGCAGUGAGGAAUNUUGCGCAAUGGNGGAAACCCUGACNCAGCGACAGCCGCGUGGAUGAUGAAGGCCUUUGGGUCGUAAAAUCCUGUCAGNUGGAAAGA